rnacentral:rRNA from 1 species
AUUGAACGCUGGCGGCAUGCCUUACACAUGCAAGUCGAACGGCAGCACGGGGGCAACCCUGGUGGCGAGUGGCGAACGGGUGAGUAAAAUAUCGGAACGUGCCCUGGAGUGGGGGAUAACGUAGCGAAAGUUACGCUAAUACCGCAUACGAUCUAAGGAUGAAAGUGGGGGAUUCGCAAGAACCUCAUGCUCCUGGAGCGGCCGAUAUCUGAUUAGCUAGUUGGUGGGGAAAGGCCUACCAAGCGACGAUCAGUAGCUGUCUGAGAGGACGACCAGCCACACUGGGACUGAGACACGG